CCUACGGGUGGCAGCAGUGGGGAAUAUUGGGCAAUGGGCGCAAGCCUGACCCAGCAACGCCGCGUGAAGGAAGAAGGCUUUCGGGUUGUUAACUUCUUUUCUCAGGGACGCAGCAAGUGACGGUACCUGAGGACUAAGCCACGGCUAACUACGGGCCAGCAGCCGCGGUAAUACGAGGGUGGCAAGAGUUAUCCGGAUUUACUGGGUGUAAAGGGCGUGUAGGCGGGACUGCAAGUCAGAUGUGAAAACCACGGGCUCAACCCGGGGUCGGCAUUUGAAACUGGAGUUCUUGAGUACUGGAGAGGCAGACGGAAUGCGUGGUGUAGCGGUGAAAUGCGUAGAUAUUACGAGGAACACCAGUUGCGAAGGCAGUCUGCUGGACAGCAACUGACGCUGAGGCGCGAAAGCGUGGGGAGCAAACAGGAUUAGAUACCCCAGUAGUC
rnacentral:rRNA from 1 species